rnacentral:rRNA from 1 species
AACGAACGCUGGCGGCAGGCCUAACACAUGCAAGUCGAACGCCCUAGCAAUAGGGAGUGGCAGACGGGUGAGUAACGCGUGGGAACCUUCCCUGUGGUGCGGAAUAACUCGCCGAAGGCGUGCUAAUACCGCAUAAGCCCGCAAGGGAAAGAUUUAUCGCCAUAGGAUGGGCCCGCGUAGGAUUAGCUAGUUGGUGAGGUAAUGGCUCACCAAGGCGACGAUCCUUAGCGGUUUGAGAGAAUGACCAGCCACACCUGGGACUGAGACACGGCCCAGACUCCUACGGGAGGCAGCAGUGGGGAAUCUUGGACAAUGGGCGCAAGCCUGAUCCAGCCAUGCCGCGUGAGUGACGAAGGCCUUCGGUUG